CAAGGAAGGGCCCGCUGAAGCUCUCGGGCUUGCCGGUGGCGACGAGCUGCUUGACGGUGAAGAGGAAGGGCACGCGCUCGCCUCCGGGGAGCUGCACGGUGACGGCCGCAUAGUCGAUGCCGUCCUUCUCCUCGAACUUGAGGGUGCCGUCGGCGCCGACCUCGAGCGGGCCUUCCAUCUCGUCAAGGGUGUAGGUGAGACGGGUCAUGAGCUUGGUCUUCUGGAAGGCCGGCGGCUCGUUCUUCUGGAUGCCCUCGGCCUUGACGGUGAAGGAGGUGGGCUCCAGGCAGAACUUCUUCAUCUCGUACUUGCCGGCCUUGAAGGGGAAGGAGUCGACGCCGCCGUCGAUGGUCGGGCACUGGUUCGCGGUGCCGGUACCCUUCACCUCCAUGUAGGUCUUGCUCUGGAUCUCGUCGAAGGUCAGCCUCUUGGGCGCCCCCUCCGCGCUCGCGCCCUGCACCCACGCGCGUCACUCUAGCUAGCUGGACUGGAGUGGAGUAAACGGCCACGGACGGCAAUAGAACGGAUUAGUCAGCUUACGGAGACGAGGAGGGCAGAGGUGGCGAGGGCGAAGCCGGCCAUCUUGGCGGCGUCGGCGCACUUGCUUGCGACCUCCCUGAUGUCGGACUGCAGGGAGCAGGUGAUCCUGGCGCCAGCGUCGACGCCGAACGCCCGGGCGACGUGCGACGACGGCCGCGCGGAGGAGGCCCGGCCGCCGAUCUUGGCCGGCAUCAGCGUAGCCGCGGCUUGGAGAGACGCUGCCAUGUUGGUCGGUGGCUUGGCACGCGGGAGGAUCG
rnacentral:lncRNA from 1 species